UGCCGUGCUACACUUUGUUUGUUGUUUGUCUUUGCUCACUUGAAUGUAGCUUGUUCACUGCUGUAUCCUCAGUAUCUCUAAUGGGGCCUUGCAGAAAGUAGUUCCUCAAAUAUUUAUGUGAGUCUCACCUUGUCAUCCAGGUCAAGAGACAAUCGGACACUGUCUGAAGAAACGGUCAAAACAAUAUGCUGUAUUUCAGAAUUAUAUCCUGAAAUUAUAUCCCAAAAGGAGUCAGUUAGCAUGUGUGGGUGACAUCAGGGAGUGUUUUCUGGAGGGAAGGGCAGGUGCAGGAAGGGUAGGAUGAGGGCUAGGUGAGGAUAGGGUGGACUCAGGCCUUGUUCUCUUCCGUAGGUCUUUACUCACCUGCAGACCUGUGGCCCACUCCGCCGGUAUGUGUGACAAGCAGCUUAAACUGCACCCUGGAGAACGGCGUGCCUUGUGUGAUUCAGGAGCCAGCCCCGGUUCAUAAUAGAGACAGAGUCUUGCUCUGUCACCUAGGCUGGAGCGCAGUGGUACAAUUAUAGCUCACUGCAGCCUUGAACUCCUGGGUUCAGGCGAUUCUCCUGCCUCAGCCUCUCAAGUAACUGGGACUACAGUUUCAUUGAUUGGAGUGCAACAUGCGAAGGCCAGUUUUCCAGCGCAUACUGUCCAUUGGAAUUGAACGAUUACAAUGCCUUUCCAGAAGGUAAGGGCUCUUCAGACAAUCCCAACGCCAUUCUUUUAUUCUUAGA
rnacentral:sRNA from 1 species